rfam:Mus musculus chromosome X, GRC primary reference assembly.
GGCACGGUGCACACUGACAUCCAGGGCCACUAGAAAGUCUACUGCUAGGGCCUACUGCAGCCCUAACCAGGCUCUCCCUGAGUUGGGAGGUGAGUUCCCAGAGAACAGUCCUCCACACCUUGACAGACUGGGCAGGAAAGUCCCCAAAUGGGCAAAUAUAUCCCUCACCAGGGCUUGGAACAAACUCCUGGUCACUCAGUUUGCUCAGUAAAUGGCUAUCUUUCUUGUCAGGAGAAGUGCUCGCUCCUUGUCUGAACACAUGUAGACUCCAUGUC